UGUGGGAUCUCUCCUGGUAAGGCAAACCCAGUACCCUUUAAAAUCAGAAUGCCAGCUUGGAUUGGUUGCAGUAACAGCUAAAUUGGCUCAUCCUGGUUUGCUUGUAGGACGUGAAUGCAAGAACCUGCCAAGAAACCAAUGGCCAAGAUGAUUGAUGAGUGCAGGACCUGAGAGAACCACCUUGAAUGACAACCUUAGGUUUAAAAGAUGGCUGUUGCUUUUGAAGGAGAAAAUCUGGAAAGCAGGAAGGAAGAAAAGAAGCCCCCUGACUCCUCCCUGAGCCCCAGACAGCCCAUGAACUGCCUUGCUGGGAAUGGUAGGAUGGGGUGGACUCUGGAUUGCUCCCUCUGGAUGUGUGGCUCUCCCCUCAGGAACUCCAGGAACUCCUGGUGCCGCCUGGGCCGAUGGAUUGGACGCCCCAGCCCCUCCGUUCCUGCCCAGCCACUGGGUCCGUGUCCAGUGGUGGCACUGCCAGCCCUGCAGUGGGAUGUAGCCUGGAAACUGCACAGAGCUGAGCUAAGGGAUUGAAAGGGAGCAAGCAAGGGAGGUGAAGAAAGAAGGAAGAAGGGAAGUGAGGCAGCAGGCAAGCAGCAGCAAGUUGCUGUGUAAGCAGGU